rnacentral:tRNA from 1 species
GGGAGUGUAACUCAGUGGUAGAGUGCUUGCCUAGCAUGCACAAAGCCCAGGGUUUAAUCCCCUGUACCCACA